CUUGAAACACGGACCAAGGAGUUUAGCGUGUACGCAAGUCAUUGGGUGUAUAAAACCCAAAGGCGAAAUGAAAGUAAAGAGUAGAGAUUUGUAAAGAAGUUUACUUUUUUACAAUCUCCUCUUUAGGGAAGAUGGAAAUAUUAUACAGUAAUGUAUGAAAAUUUCCCGCAUUCCCAGGGCGCUUGUUUCUUGCUUUGCGAGUCGAUGCGCACCUAGAGCGUACACGCUGAUACCCGAAAGAUGGUGAACUAUGCCUGGCCAGGACGAAGCCAGGGGAAACCCUGGUGGAGGUCCGCAGCGAUUCUGACGUGCAAAUCGAUCGUCGGAGCUGGGUAUAGGGGCGAAAGACCAAUCGAACCAUCUAGUAGCUGGUUCCCUCUGAAGUUUCCCUCAGGAUA
rnacentral:rRNA from 1 species